CUGAAAAAGGCUCAGACUGACAGGUCUUCCUUUCUGCCCUUCUUGUAGAUAGGCCUUACAUUUGCUACUCUGCAGUCCACUGGCACCUCCCCAGUUAGCCAGGACUUCUGCAUCUUCGAUGGUUGGUGUGAUCUGAAAAGGAAGGACAGACAGAAGCAUGUGAUAGUAGAGUGUGUCCUGCAAGAGCAAAACAGAAUUUCAUUAAGAGGACCUGCUAAACAGAACCUUCAGGAGCAAUCAAGAAGAAAUGCAUCAUCUGGAAACCUCUGGAACAGGAACGUCUUUUGGUUCAGCUACAGCAGAAGUACAAUAUACUCCACUAGCUGCACUCACGGGCCAGCUGCAGGCUGGUCUAGAGAACCAAAGCCAUGAUGUGGUGUCCUUGGAUGUGCAUGUGUGCCUGAUUCGUUCAAGUCUACAUCUCCACCGUACCUUGUAUGGCUUCCCACUGACGAGCGCAGACAGAGCCGACCGCGGUACCUUGCCGGAGCGUGUCUUCGGGAGCUGUUUCACAAACAUCCCCUUCUGGAAGGCUGCCACCGGACCAAUAUUAGCUCGAACUUGCUCAACAAUCUCUUCAAAAAUCUUCUUCUCAUCUGUUUUUAUACCUAGUGAAGAAGUUAAUGUCCUUUACUGCCAGUGUUGCACCCCAGAGUAACAGACUGUGGCACCAAUAUGGUUAGAUCAUUUUUCUCCUCCUUAUUGCAGUGAUACAGCAACCUACAUGCUAACUUAGGGGAGCUGUGCAGAGCUAGCUUAGUCAAGAUUGGUACAUGUGGAAGCUACAGGUAGGCUUAAGGCUAUGUGUGAGGUGCAGAUAGGUUGAGCUUAUAUAAACAACCUGUAGGGUCAGCCCCCUGUGGCCAGCAGACCCUGCCUCCUGCAGCUGGACGUGGGGGUUUGCUUCACCGCCUCAGUUCCUGCCUGCGGGAUGGGCUCAAGGGCACUCUGCAGCACAGCUUGCUCAUGGUUAUCAAUUCAUGUCCCCUGUUAGCAAGAAA